rnacentral:rRNA from 1 species
AGUGAACGCUGGCGGUAGGCCUAACACAUGCAAGUCGAACGGCAGCACAGUAAGAGCUUGCUCUUACGGGUGGCGAGUGGCGGACGGGUGAGGGAUACAUCGGAAUCUACUUUUUCGUGGGGGAUAACGUAGGGGAACUUACGCUAAUAGCGCAUACGACGUACGGGUGAAAGCAGGGGAUCUUCGGCCCUUGCGCGAUUGAAUGAGCCGAUGUCGGAUUAGCUAGUUGGCGGGGUAAAGGCCCACCAAGGCGACGAUCCGUAGCUGGUCUGAGAGGAUGAUCAGCCACACUGGAACUGAGACACGGUCCAGACUCCUACGGGAGGCAGCAGUGGGGAAUAUUGGACAAUGGGCGCAAGCCUGAUCCAGCCAUACCGCGUGGGUGAAGAAGGCCUUCGGGUUGUAAAGCCCUUUUGUUGGGAAAGAAAAGCAGCAGGUUAAUACCCCGCUGUUCUGACGGUACCCAAAGAAUAAGCACCGGCUAACUUCGUG